rnacentral:rRNA from 1 species
CUACGGGUUGCAGCAGUGAGGAAUAUUGCACAAUGGGGGAAACCCUGAUGCAACAACGCCGCGUGGAGGAUGACGCAUUUCGGUGUGUAAACUCCUUUUAUGAGUCAAGAAAAUGACGGUAGCUCAUGAAUAAGCACCGGCUAACUCCGUGCCAGCAGCCGCGGUAAUACGGAGGGUGCAAGCGUUACUCGGAAUCACUGGGCGUAAAGGACGCGUAGGCGGGAUGUCAAGUCAGGUGUGAAAUCCUGUGGCUCAACCAUAGAACUGCACUUGAAACUGGCAACCUAGAGUAUGGGAGGGGGAGAUGGAAUUAGUGGUGUAGGGGUAAAAUCCGUAGAUAUCACUAGGAAUACCGAAAGCGAAGGCGAUCUCCUGGAACAUUACUGACGCUAAGGCGUGAAAGCGUGGGGAGCAAACAGGAUUAGAUACCCCAGUAGUC